rnacentral:rRNA from 1 species
AAAACGACUCUCGGCAACGGAUAUCUCGGCUCUCGCAUCGAUGAAGAACGUAGCGAAAUGCGAUACUUUGUGUGAAUUGCAGAAUCCCGUGAACCAUCGAGUCUUUGAACGCAAGUUGCGCCCCAAGCCGUUAGGCCGAGGGCACGCCUGCCUGGGUGUCAC